GACAGAGGGGGCAAGCGUUGCUCGGAAUUACUGGGCGUAAAGGGCGCGUAGGCGGGAUGGCAAGUCGGUCGUGAAAUCCCUCGGCUCAACCGAGGAACGUCGAUCGAUACUGCUGUUCUUGAGGAUUGCAGAGGAGACUGGAAUUCCCGGUGUAGCGGUGGAAUGCGUAGAUAUCGGGAAGAACACCAGUGGCGAAGGCGGCUCGCUGGGCCGAUGCUGACGCUGAGGCGCGAAAGCGUGGGGAGCAAACAGG
rnacentral:rRNA from 1 species